GAUUAUGGCUCAGAACGAACGCUGGCGGCGCGUUUAAGCAUGCAAGUCGAGCGGCAAGGGCCUUCGGGCCCCUAGAGCGGCGGACGGGUGAGUAACACGUGGACAAUCUGCCCCCGGCCCGGGAUAGCCCAGGGAAACCUGGAUUAAUACCGGAUGAGACGGGACCCGCGAUGGCGGGACCCGGGAAAGGCGCUGCGGCGCCGCCGGGGGAUGAGUCUGCGUCCCAUUAGCUAGACGGCGGGGUAACGGCCCACCGUGGCGACGAUGGGUAGCCGGCCUGAGAGGGUGGACGGCCACAUUGGAACUGAGACACGGUCCAGACUCCUACGGGAGGCAGCAGCUAAGAAUCUUCCGCAAUGGGCGAAAGCCUGACGGAGCGACGCCCGCGUGAACGAAGAAGGCCGUGAGGUUGUAAAGUUCUUUUCGGGAGGGGGAACAACCGUGGCAGGGAAUGGCCGCGGGAUGACGUGAAUCCCGGAAUAAGCCCCGGCUAACUACGUGCCAGCAGCCGC
rnacentral:rRNA from 1 species